GUAUAAAAAUAACAGGAGGUUUGUUAACCAGCAUGAUUGAAACAGAAUCUAUUCUCUGAUUUCUUGUGUUUGCUUCCCCUCAGGCUGGAAGAAGGUGGAGGAGAGUGCAAGCCAGUCAGUCCUGUUUCUGCACAUCUGGCACAGAAAGUGUUCUUUCCGAUCUUUCUGUUUCAAGAAGAAAAUGAAUGAAAUUUCAGACCAGGAAUCCCGUGAAAUCAACCACAACAACAAGAUUACAUUUGUAUAGUGCCUUUCACGUUGGGAGGACGUCCCAAGACACUGGAAUCAUUGCGACCAUGCACAACCUACCAAACGGGUCUGGAAGAUCGAAUAAACAGAGAUCCUUCAUUUCCACACCACAAACACAGAGAGUGUCCCUGUCAAAGUCCC